rnacentral:rRNA from 1 species
AACCUUUAGCCAAACAAGUAUUAAAGGCAACGCCUGCCCAGUGAACAAUUAAACGGCCGCGGUACCCUAACCGUGCAAAGGUAGCAUAAUCAUUUGUCUAUUAAUUGUAGACCUGUAUGAAAGGCAAAAUGAGGGCCUAACUGUCUCUUAUAAUCAAUCAAUUAAACUGAUCUCCCAGUACAAAAGCUGGGAUACAACCAUAAGACCAGAAGACCCUGUGAAGCUUAAACUAAACUAUUAAUCCCAAUAAUAACUACUUUCGGUUGGGGCGACCUUGGAAAGAAAAAGAACUUCCAACUAAAACAAAACCACAACAGGCCAACAAGCCAACAACGACCCCAGCAACGCUGAUUAACGAAAUAAGUUACUCCAGGGAUAACAGCGCCAUCUUCUUCAAGAGCCCAUAUCAAAAAGAAGGUUUACGACCUCGAUGUUGGAUCAGGACAUCCUAAUGGUGCAGAAGCUAUUAAGGGUUCGUUUGUUCAACGAUUAACAGUCCC